CAAUAGCGUAUAUUAAAGUUGUUGCAGUUAGAACGCUCGUAGUCGGAUUUCGGGUCGGGCCGACCGGUCUGCCGAUGGGUACGCACUGGUCGGCGCGUCCUUCCUCUCGGAGACUGUUCCUACUCUUAACUGAGCGGGAGCAGGAUACGGGACUUUUACUUUGAAAAAAUCAGAGUGUUUCAAGCAGGCAGCUCGCUCUUGCAUGGAUUAGCAUGGGAUAAUGAAAUAGGACUUUGGUGCUAUUUUGUUGGUUUCGAACACCGAAGUAAUGAUGAGAAGGGACAGUCAGGGGCACUCGUAUUCCGCCGAGAGAGGUGAAAUUCUCAGACCAGCGGAAGACGAACCACUGCGAAAGCAUUUGCCAGGGAUGUUUNCACUG
rnacentral:rRNA from 1 species